CAAUCAGCCUAGAGAAGAGGGACCAAAACAGCUGAUUACUGGACACUGGCACAUCAGCAAGAAAAGUUUUCUUCUUGAAGAGAAAUACUGCAAAAGAUCUGAGACAAGAGGAGACAACAUGACCCAGGGGAUAUUUUCCUUUCUCUGGCACAUACUUGAGGAUCAGAUCUCUCACAGGUGCCUUCUGAGGACAGACACUUCACUCAACUCAGAACCCACAGCCUGGCAUGUCGGAUGAUUUUGAAAGAGUCUAGAAGGUUGACAACGGUAAGAAACUUUUGGAAAUGUUUAAUACUCUGG